UACAGAGGUCCCGAGCGUUGUUCGGAAUUAUUGGGCGUAAAGGGCGCGUAGGCGGCCUGGCAAGUGGAAGGUGAAAUCCCUCGGCUUAACCGAGGAACUGCCCUCCAAACUGCUUGGCUUGAGUCCGGGAGAGGUGAGUGGAAUUCCCAGUGUAGCGGUGAAAUGCGUAGAUAUUGGGAGGAACACCAGUGGCGAAGGCGGCUCACUGGACCGGAACUGACGCUGAUGCGCGAAAGCGUGGGGAGCAAACGGG
rnacentral:rRNA from 1 species